UAUCUCCUGCCGUGUUUGACAGUGUGCUGGGUGUUUCCUGAACCUGUAUUAACCCCGGGGGCUGAUGCCUGGCCAUGGUGCGCAUGCUUGUUUUAGACAAGAAGCCUGAUUGGCCUGCCGUGUCCCCACUUGAACCAUUGGUUCAAGGACGAAAGCGCGCAUCGGCACAGGUGGGAGAUGC
rnacentral:other from 1 species